UGAUUUCAGCUCACUGCAACCUCUGCCUCCUGGGUUCAAGUGAUUCUCCUGACUCAGCCUCCCGAGUUGCUGGGAUUACAGGUGCCUGCCACCUUGCCUGGCUUUUUUUUUUUUUUUUGAGACAAGGUCUGGCUCUGUCGCUCAGGCUGGAGUGCAGUGGUGUGAUCUUGACUCACUGCAACCUGCACCUUCCAGGUUCAAGGGAUUCUCCUGCCUUAGCCUCUGGAGUAGCUG
rnacentral:lncRNA from 1 species